AUGGCGUGUAGCACUGUAACGUUAAUGUAUAAUAAGCUCUCAGACGCAAAGAUGAUGUAGAUCUCAACUAAUGUGGUAAAUUAAUCAUUAAGAAAUACAAUUUGAAUGAAAUACAGUAUAUCGUUGUAAAAUAAAGUGGCCUUGGGCACAGCAGACUGUCACGGGGCCUAAAAAAAACAAUGCUGCGAUAUAUUUUUUUAUUUGAUAAUUUAACAAACUCCUAAUAAUACAGUAGUUUGACAUCUGAGUAAGCACAAUUUUCUCUAAUGUCGCAGUUCACGCGGUUUGAGCGAAGCUGGCUGAGGUGAACUCUACACGGGGCAAUUGUCUCUCGCUUCCCUUGGCACGGAGCGUGCGAUUUUCUCACCAUGUCACGAUUUCUGUAUUUGAUUUGAGACCUCGAUUAAAAAAACAUUGAUUGCAUGAUUUUGCCCGUGGCAGUAACCAUAAAACAUGGCGAAUAUGGCGAAUUUCAAGGAUGAGAAAACAUUAAGCAUUAUGAGACGGUUUUCCAAGGCUGCAUUAUAUGUUAAAACCAUGAAACGAUUAGUCUACAACGCCGACAAUAAUUAAAAUUGUCGACACAUCUUUGUUGUCGAGUGGUCGUUUUCAUCUCAUUUAGACUUAAACAAAUAUAAAUGCAUGUAAUAUCGUGAUUUGACCGCUACGACGCUGUAGCGCUAGAGUGUAAUGCAGCCCUAACAAAUCUGCGAUAGAAGAAGAUGGAUGAAAAAACACAGCGCAGGUUAUGGCGAAGUGCAAAUGAAAGUUUUACAACACUUAAAAACCAAGAAUGCUGUCGUGUGUAAUACAUAAAAGACAGAUAUUGCCUUUCACGGGAGCACAUGGUGCAUGUUGGAGCACUUAGGUGGGAGUGAUUCGGAGUCAUCGGAGAAGAGGACCAAAUCCUCUGAAAGAUGCAGAAAUCCAUGAACAAAAGGGCAAGGACAAAGACAACAUAACCAGAAAAUAUAUUAAUCCCAUCAAAGCUCGUCCAUGAGCCUGUCGUUUCAGGAAGUGAAGUCACAUCUCCUAAAGAGGUUUGUUAAUAAUUUUGUCAAAUUUGUGUCACACGUGUUAUAAUU